rnacentral:lncRNA from 1 species
AUCUAAAUUAAUCAUACGGAAUUUUUUAGUGAUGUUCUAUUUCAGUACCCUGCCAUUGUCUCUGGUGGGCUGUCCGUGUGCAUUCGAUCUGAAACAGUUGCUACUUUGCUGUCGAGGAUUUUCGAAUGUUUACAUGAAAAUAGAGGCAAGUCAUGCAUUUUACAACCUCUUAAACUGUAUGAGCCCCUAUUUUUACGCUUAUACCUAAGAUAUCAAAUAAAAGUACAUGAAACAGAGAGCAUUUGUAGGAAGUUUUAUCGUGAGGCCACGGGCAGUUUUUAAAAUAUCUUUAUUUCUUUUCCGGUCAUCACCAAAAUUACACAAAAGCUGGGCUUGAAUAUACAACAAAUUUUGAAUCUCAUCAAGCACAAAAAUACUUAACGUGUAACCAAAAUAUGCUCAUGAAAUCGAAAUUGAUAG